rnacentral:rRNA from 1 species
CACGUAGUUAGCCGGUGCUUAUUCUUCAGGUACCGUCAUUAGCAGGCGAUAUUAGCGCCUGCCGUUUCUUCCCUGACAAAAGAGCUUUACAACCCGAAGGCCUUCUUCACUCACGCGGCAUUGCUGGAUCAGGCUUGCGCCCAUUGUCCAAAAUUCCCCACUGCUGCCUCCCGUAGGAGUCUGGACCGUGUCUCAGUUCCAGUGUGGCUGGUCGUCCUCUCAGACCAGCUACUGAUCGUCGCCUUGGUGAGCCUUUACCUCACCAACUAGCUAAUCAGAUAUCGGCCGCUCCAGGAGCACAAGGCCUUGCGGUCCCCUGCUUUCAUCCGUAGAUCGUAUGCGGUAUUAGCGUAACUUUCGCUACGUUAUCCCCACUCUUGGGUACGUUCCGAUAUAUUACUCACCCGUUCGCCACUCGCCACCAGGCCGAAGCCCGUGCUGCCGUUCGACUUGCAUGUGUAAAGCAUGCCGCCAGCGUUCAAU